GAUGAACGCUGGCGGCGUGCUUAACGCAUGCAAGUCGAACGAAGCAUUUGCGACAGAUUUUUUCGGAAUGAAGUUGCUUAUGACUGAGUGGCGGACGGGUGAGUAACGCGUGGGUAACCUGCCUUGUACUGGGGGAUAGCAGCUGGAAACGGCUGGUAAUACCGCAUAAGCGCACAAUGUUGCAUGACAUGGUGUGAAAAACUCCGGUGGUAUAAGAUGGACCCGCGUCUGAUUAGCUAGUUGGUGAGAUAACAGCCCACCAAGGCGACGAUCAGUAGCCGACCUGAGAGGGUGACCGGCCACAUUGGGACUGAGACACGGCCCAGACUCCUACGGGAGGCAGCAGUGGGGAAUAUUGCACAAUGGAGGAAACUCUGAUGCAGCGACGCCGCGUGAGUGAAGAAGUAAUUCGUUAUGUAAAGCUCUAUCAGCAGGGAAGAUAGUGACGGUACCUGACGAAGAAGCUCCGGCUAAAUACGUG
rnacentral:rRNA from 1 species